rnacentral:rRNA from 1 species
GCAGGCGCGAAAACUUUACAAUGCGGAAACCGUGAUAAGGGAACACCGAGUGCCAGCAUCAUAUGCUGGCUGUCCAGAUGUGUAAACUACAUCUGUUAGCAAGGGCCGGGCAAGACCGGUGCCAGCCGCCGCGGUAACACCGGCGGCCCGAGUGGUGACCGUUAUUAUUGGGUCUAAAGGGUCCGUAGCCGGUUUGGUCAGUCCUCCGGGAAAUCUGAUAGCUUAACUGUUAGGCUUUCGGGGGAUACUGCCAGGCUUGGAACCGGGAGAGGUAAGAGGUACUACAGGGGUAGGAGUGAAAUCUUGUAAUCCCUGUGAGACCACCUGUGGCGAAGGCGUCUUACCAGAACGGGUUCGACGGUGAGGGACGAAAGCUGGGGGCACGAACCGGAUUAGAUACCCGGGUAGUCCCAGCCGUAAACUAUGCUCGCUAGGUGUCAGGCAUGGCGCGACCGUGUCUGGUGCCGCAGGGAAGCCGUGAAGCGAGCCACCUGGGAAGUACGGCCGCAAGGCUGAAACUUAAAGGAAUUGGCGGGGGAGCACAACAACGGGUGGAGCCUGCGGUUUAAUUGGACUCAACGCCGGACAACUCACCGGGAACGAC